ensembl:lncRNA
AGGAACACUGAUUGAACGCCUGCGUUAUUACGCGCGGCGCAUCCUGUCUGUGGCGAGCGCGAGCGUGACAGGGUACAGUAACACAGCAGCUCUGAGACAACACGUGUCGUGUGUGUGUGUGUGUGUGUCUCACUGAGCCACGCGAAGGCCUGCUCAGUUUUACACGUUUGUUCAUGCACCUGUAUGAGAGUACAUAUAGGCUAGUCAAGCAUGUUUGCUUAAAUAUAGCCUACAAACGACAGGUGAUGCAUUUCAAUCUGGAGCACAUGACCCUCCAGUAGCAACAAAACAUGAGAAAGGACAGAGGAAUGCAGGAGCGAGAGGCCAGUCAAAAGAGGACAGCUGCAUGUGUUUAAGUAUGGUUUGUGAAACAGCCAGUGAUGCUGCAUCACGUGUGACAAACAUUUUCAGAUCUAUAUAUUGAUUUUUAGACACUUCUAGAUCUAUAUGUUUAUUUUGGAUCAAUGUCACUGAUAACAUGAGCUAUUACAUUAGUAAAUAAACUAUAGAAAUUUGAGAAAAAGUCCA